rnacentral:tRNA from 2 species
GCCCUAGCUCAGCUGGAUAGAGCGUUGGCCUCCGGAGGCAAGGGGCAUGGGUUCGAAUACUUUUGUGCA